GGUGUGAAUUGCAAAAUCCCGUGAACCAUCGAGUCUUUGAACGCAAGUUGCGCCCGAGGCCACUACGGCUGAGGGCACGUCUGUCUGGGCGUCGCGCACAGCGUCACCUAACACCACGCUCCUCCUUGAGAAGCCGGUGGAGUAUGGCCUCCCGUGUCUUGGGCAAAGGCGCGGUUGGCCCAAAUCUGAGGCACGGGGCAAUGAAUGCCGUGACAGUUGGUGGUCAGCGGGCCGAAAGGCCCACGGUUACACGACUUGUCAUCGCGCCAUUGCCUCUUUUGCUUGUAUCCACAUCGAUCUGCCGCCGUCGUGCGGUAGAGUGAGUCGACCCCAGAUCAGGCGGGGUUACCC
rnacentral:rRNA from 1 species